rnacentral:tRNA from 1 species
AUUUAAGUAGUUUAUGUAAAAAUUUUAAUUUGUGGAGUUAAAGAAAUGAAAUUUUCAUCUUAGAUA